GAGAACCUAGCUGUCACCUGAAAAAUUUAAAAUUGAGGCUAUCAGUAUUGGGAGUGAGUUAAAAUCAUAUAUCUGAAGUAAAACAACAAAAAAUGUACGUAUAUAAUGGUUGAUAAAAUAAAAUGGAAUAUCACAAAAUCAUAAUUUAAAAUAACUAAAUUUUAACUAAUAAGGGACGAUCACUUCAAUAGAAUUCUAACUUCAAUACUAGCCUUUCGACUCUCUUAUUCUAAUAGGACUGAUGCCUAGAGAGCAAAGCUCAACCAAGGACCUUAAAUCCAGUCUGGUUACUUGGUUCCCAAUAUAAUUGGCGCCUAGAGAAUAAUGCUCGAUCAUGGACCUUUUCUCCAGCAAUCAAUUCUCACAGCUAAAAGAGUUAUACUCAACCAGAGCAAAUUUUAAAAAUAUUCUUUUACUACCUGUCUCUAAUUAAUAUCGGUGCGCACGGGGUCAUAAUGUAACCUAUCAGAUAGCAUGUUCUACUGAUGUUUCAUCAUAAGUCAAUAUGCAAUCAUAACAUUAACACUGCAGAAAAUGAUAUAUAAAUAGCAAGCAACUUAACUAUUAUUUCUCAACUUAUUAAAUAAUAUUGAACAACACAUAAUUUGUAGUUAUAAAUUUAAUUAAUUAAAUAAUUAGUAAAUAGAUAAUUGAUUCCAUAAAAUGAUUAUUUAGAUGAAUAAUAAAUAACUAAUCUAAAGUCUAUAAAUCAAUCAAUUGAAUAAAUAAUAAAUAAAUAAUUUAAAUCUAUAAGAUUAAUUAAUUAAAUAUAGAAUAAGAAUCACCAUGAUAAAUAUAUAUAUAUAUAUAUAUAUAUAUAUAUAUAUACACACGAUAAUAAUAAUAUAUGUAAUAAUUAUUAAUCAAAAUUGUUAUAUAAAAAUUUGGCAUGCCACAUGUAUAAAAGAUAUGUAUGAUUUUAACUCACAGUUAUGCGGCACUCCGCAGUCUGCUCCUACACCUCGGGUAGAGUUGGCUAAACGGAUGAAUUAGCUAUUCAUGAAAAUAAUUCAAUUAAUAAGAUAUUCAUAAUCUCUCGUAGGCUUAGACUCUUAGAUUAUACUGUGUAAGAAACUCUGAUUCGGAAAUUCUAUCGAAAAUUCGGCAAAACUUUCCUUAAAAUAUGGACAUGUAUCCCCGUAUAAUAGGUCCAGAACCUGCUAGAAAAAUUUUAAAUAUUUUAUAAAUACUUAACGGGAGUCAAGCCACCAAAACUGCAUUAUUUUUCCGACUCUGCAAUAUAACCCAAAUUAUAAUAUAAAAAUUAUCAGUCCGGCAAAAUAAUCCUAUUUCAUGAUACAUUAUACAAAUAUUUACAUAACAGAAUGUUAACUCAUUUUGUAAUUAAUCUGCAGUAAUUCUAAAAUCAGGCUAUUAAUUAAUUAAAUAAUUUAAUUACUUAAUUAUAACUAAUAAUUAAUACAACAAAUACUGUCUAAUAAUUCUAAAAUAAUUUUCAAAGUCUGAAUAGCUCGUCCACAAAACACCAGGCUUUGGAAGCUGGUACCGCCAAUGAUGUCCGGUUUCGGAUCCGGAAGCGCCUACGCGAAGUUUGAGUUGCGGGGAGUCCAAAUAUGCAAAUGUCUUCGCCUGAAACUAGCCGGAAGUCACCGGAUCGGGGCUGGAAAGUUUCGGCUUCGGCGAGGCUCACCCACUACUGCCGGCGGAGGGAAAUGAGCGGGGAAGGCUGCCUUGAGGUUCGGGGUCCAAGAGUCCAUUUUCGGCAUCAGAUCGGCGAAGAGACACCGACAGGAGGCUGUUUUGGCGGCAGCAAUGAGGUGAGUCGACUUUUCAUUCUUGUUGUAGUGAGGAACGAUGAAGGGGAAGGAGAAAGAGACGGCGCCGACGAAGCAGAAAUGGGGGGGUAAGGAGAAGGAGAAGAGAGAAGAGGGUGAGAGAGAGAGAGAAAAGGAGGGGAGGGAAAAAAAUAUUAAUUAUUAUUUUUUUUAAUAAUAAACGAUAGAAAAAUGUAAAUCAAUCUCCCCCUCUAAAAAGUUGCUAUCUUGACUUAA
rnacentral:lncRNA from 1 species